rnacentral:rRNA from 1 species
GACGAACGCUGGCGGCGUGCCUAAUACAUGCAAGUCGAACGCACUCUCGUUUAGAUUGAAGGAGCUUGCUCCUGAUUGAUAAACAUUUGAGUGAGUGGCGGACGGGUGAGUAACACGUGGGUAACCUGCCCUAAAGUGGGGGAUAACAUUUGGAAACAGAUGCUAAUACCGCAUAAAACCUAAACACCGCAUGGUGUAGGGUUGAAAGAUGGUUUCGGCUAUCACUUUAGGAUGGACCCGCGGUGCAUUAGUUAGUUGGUGAGGUAAAGGCUCACCAAGACCGUGAUGCAUAGCCGACCUGAGAGGGUAAUCGGCCACACUGGGACUGAGACACGGCCCACGACUCCUACGGGAGGCGAGCAGUAGGGAAGUCUUCCACAAUAGGACGAAGUCUGAUGGAGCAACGCCGCGUGAGUGAAGAAGGUUUCGGUAGUCGUAAAACUACUGUUGUUGGUAGAAGAAUGUAUCUGAUAGUAACU